GGUCAGAAGGAAGCUUANAGGGGAACCUAAAANNACGGAAAGUGAGUAACACGUGGGCAACCUGCCCUGCAGACUGGGAUAACUCCGGGAAACCGGAGCUAAUACCGGGUAAUACAUCGCACCGCAUGGUGCAAUGUUGAAAGUUGGCUUUCUGAGCUAACACUGCAGGAUGGGCCCGCGGCGCAUUACCUAGUUGGUAAGGUAAGGGCUUACCAAGGCNACAAUNCGUACCCAACCUGAAAGGGUGAUCGGCCACACUGGGACUGAAACACGGCCCAAACUCCUACGGAAGGCACCAUUAGGGAAUCUUCCGCAAGGGACAAAAGUCUGACGNAGCACCGCCGCGUGAGUGACNAAGGCCUUCGGGNCGUAAAGCUCUGUUGUUAGGGAAAAACAAGUNCCGUUCGAAUAGGGCGGNCCUUGACGGCCCUAACCAAAAACCACGGCUAACUACNUGCCACAGCCGCGGUAAUACGUAGGUGGCAAGCGUUGNCCGGAAUUAUNGGGCGUAAANCGCGCGCAGGCGGCCUUUAAGNCGGAUGUGAACCCCACGGCUCACCCGNGGAGGNCAUUGGAACNGGAGGACUUGAGUCANAAAAGGAAGGGGAAUUCCCGUGUACCGGUGAAUGC
rnacentral:rRNA from 1 species